CUUUUAUUAUGAAAUUAUUUAAAAUUAGUCUGGAUUUAAUGAAGAAGAAAGUCAUGGUAUUUCAGAAUAAAAGUCGAAAUAUUUCAAGUCAAAAAUCGAAAUAUUUUCAGAAUAAAAGUCGGAAUAUUUCAAGUCAAAAAGUCGAAAUAUUUUCAGAAUAAAAGUCGAAAUAUUUCAGGUCAAAAAGUUUAAAUAUUUUCAGAAUAAAAGUCGGAAUAUUUCCAGUCAAAAAGUCGAAAUAUUUUCAGAAUAAAAGUCGAAAUAUUUCAGGUCAAAAAGUCGAAACAUUUUCAGAAUAAAAGUCGGAAUAUUUCAAGUCAAAAAGUCGAAAUAUUUUCAGAAUAAAAGUCGGAAUAUUUCAAGUCAAAAAGUCAAAACAUUUCAAGAAAAAAGUCGAAAUAUUUUCAGAAUAAAAGUUGAAAUAUUUCAAGUUAAAAAGUCGAAAUAUUUUCAGAACAAGUGUUGGAAUAUUUCAAGAAAAAAAGUCGAAAUAUUUUCAGAAUAAUAGUUAGAAUAUUUCAGGUCAAAAAGUCGAAAUAUUUUCAGAACAAAUGUUGGAAUAUUUCAAGAAAAAAAGUCGAAAUAUUUUCAGAAUAAAAGUUGAAAUAUUUCAGGUCAAAAAGUCGAAAUAUUUUCAGAAUAAAUGUCGAAAUAUUUUCAGAACAAAUGUUGGAAUAUUUCAAGAAAAAAGUCGAAAUAUUUUCAGAAUAAAAGUUGAAAUAUUUCAGGUCAAAAAGUCGAAAUAUUUUCAGAAUAAAUGUCGAAAUAUUUUCAGAAUAAAAGUCAAAAUAUUAUAAGUCAAAAAGUCGAAAUAUUUUCAGAAUAAAACUCGAAAUAUUUCAAGUCAAAGUAAAAAGUUGGAAUAUUAUAAAAUAUUUUAAGAUAAAAAGGGAUUUCAUGGAUUAAUUCAUUUAAAAUGAAUCUGGAAUGAAUGAAUCAUUAUUUCAAACAUGUAAAAACAAAACAAAAUAAUAAAAACAACAAGAUUCGCAGGAAGGUAUUUUAUUUUAUUUUGGAAAUAUGGAAGCCGGUUACCACCAAUAAAUAUUCAUGAACAUGAACAUUAUUAUUUUUAUAAUAUUAUUCUCCUGUUUAACUCUUUAUGAUGUAAGAAUGCCAAUAAAGUUAUUCAAACAAACUUUCUUUAUUUUUACAGUUUUU